rnacentral:rRNA from 1 species
GACGGAGGAUGCAAGUGUUAUCCGGAAUCACUGGGCGUAAAGGGUGCGUAGGUUGUUUAGUAAGUUAUCUGUGAAAUCCCUGGGCUUAACCUGGGACGGUCAGAUAAAACUGUUAAACUAGAGUAUAGGAGAGGGUAGUGGAAUUUCCGGUGUAGCGGUGAAAUGCGUAGAGAUCGGAAAGAACACCAGUGGCGAAGGCGGCUACCUGGCCUAAUACUGUCACUGAGGCACGAAAGCGUGGGGAGCAAACAGG